rnacentral:rRNA from 1 species
GAUGAACGCUGGCGGCGUGCCUAAUACAUGCAAGUCGAGCGAACAGACGAGGAGCUUGUUCUUUUGACGUUAGCGGCGGACGGGUGAGUAACACGUGGAUAACCUACUUAUAAUACUGGGAUAAUUUCGGGAAACCGGAGAUAAUACCGGAUAAUAUAUUGAACCGCAUGGUUCAAUAGUGAAAGACGGCUUUGCUGUCACUAAUAGAUGGUUCCGCGCCGCAUUAGCUAGUUGGUAAGGUAACGGCUUACCAAGGCGACGAUGCGUAGCCGACCUGAGAGGAUGAUCAGCCACACUGGAACUGAGACACGGUCCAGACUCCUACGGGAGGCAGCAGUAGGGAAUCUUCCGCAAUGGGCGAAAGCCUGACGGAGCAACGCCGCGUGAGUGAUGAAGGUCUUCGGAUCGUAAAACUCUGUUAUUAGGGAAGAACAAAUGUGUAAGUAACUAUGCACGUCUUGACGGUACCUAAUCAGAAAGCCACGGCUAACUACGUG